AUUGAACGCUGGCGGCAGGCCUACCACAUGCAAGUCGAACGAGUGGCGGACGGGUGUGUAAUGUCUGGGAAACUGCCUGAUGGAGGGGGAUAACUACUGGAAACGGUAGCUAAUACCGCAUACCAUCGGAUGUGCCCAUAUGGGAUUAGCUAGUAGGUGGGGUAACGGCUCACAUAGGCGACGAUCCCUAGCUGGUCUGAGAGGAUGACGAGCCACACUGGAACUGAGACACGGUCCAGACUCGUACGGGAGGCAGAAGUGGGGAAUAGUGCAAAAUGGGCGCAAGACGGAUGCAGCCAUGCCGCGUGUGUGAAGAAGGCCUUCGGGUUGUAAAGUACUUUAAGCGGGGAGGCGUUACUCGCAGAAGAAGCACCGGCUAACUCCGUGCCAGCAGCCGCGGUAAUAC
rnacentral:rRNA from 1 species